rnacentral:rRNA from 1 species
UACGGAGGGUGCAAGCGUUACUCGGAAUCACUGGGCGUAAAGGGCGCGUAGGCGGCCUAGCAAGUCUGGUGUGAAAGCCCAGGGCUCAACCCUGGAAGGGCACUGGAAACUGUUAGGCUUGAGUUCCGGAGAGGAGGGGGGAAUUCCCGGUGUAGCGGUGAAAUGCGUAGAUAUCGGGAGGAAUACCGGUGGCGAAGGCGUCCCUCUGGACGGAAAGUGACGUUGAGGCGCGAAAGCGUGGGGAGCAAACAGG